CUCAGCUGUGCAGUUGAAUUGUGCUGGUAGGCACACCUUGUGGUACUGCAAAGAGGACACCCUGCUAUGUGUAUCUGUCCUACCUUGAGGCCACUCAGACUCUUACGGAGAGACCGGGACUUGAGAAGACAAGACCAUGCUAAUACAGAGCCACCAGAAGUUUUCAGAGAUGGAUGUGCUGCUGUCCUUGAGAGGAACUGGAGGACAAUGUCUCCAUUUCUGAACUUUACAACUGUUAUGCAGCUGAAAAACAUCUGGCACUACAAAGAGCAUGGAAGUGAGCUCCCACCCCACCAGCAGAAAGAAGCCAGUCACACCAGCGUAUGUAGAGUGGUGUACUUCUGCUGCUUCAGCUGUCCAUCCUUCUGCCAGUGGCUGGAUGACUCAAGUCCCAGAAUCUUCUCAAAAAUAUGAGAGAGAAGUCUAAUUGGCGCAAGUAUGGGAAGACUAAAGGAGAAAAGUAUACGC
rnacentral:lncRNA from 1 species